UACGUAGGGGGCAAGCGUUGUCCGGAUUCAUUGGGCGUAAAGAGCUCGUAGGCGGUUCGGCAAGUCGGGUGUGAAAACUCCAGGCUCAACCUGGAGACGCCACCCGAUACUGCUGUGACUUGAGUCCGGUAGGGGACCACGGAAUUCCUGGUGUAGCGGUGAAAUGCGCAGAUAUCAGGAGGAACACCGGUGGCGAAGGCGGCCCGCUGGGCAGUGGCUGAUGCUGAGGCGCGACAGCGUGGGGAGCAACAGG
rnacentral:rRNA from 1 species